UGAGGAACAUGACCUUCGGCGGGGGAUAGCCGGCCCAACGGCCGGGUAAUACCGCGUACGACCACUUUGGGACAUCCCUAGGUGGUGAAAGCAGCAAUGCGCCGAUGGAGUGUCUCGCGGCCUAUCAGCUAGUUGGUGAGGUAACGGCUCACCAAGGCGACGACGGGUAGCUGGUCUGAGAGGAUGGCCAGCCACAUUGGGACUGAGACACGGCCCAGACUCCUACGGGAGCAG
rnacentral:rRNA from 1 species